GACGAACGCUGGCGGCGUGCUUAACACAUGCAAGUCGAACGAUGAUGCCCAGCUUGCUGGGUGGAUUAGUGGCGAACGGGUGAGUAACACGUGAGUAACCUGCCCCUGACUCUGGGAUAAGCGUUGGAAACGACGUCUAAUACUGGAUAUGAUCACUGGCCGCAUGGUCUGGUGGUGGAAAGAUUUUUUGGUUGGGGAUGGACUCGCGGCCUAUCAGCUUGUUGGUGAGGUAACGGCUCACCAAGGCGACGACGGGUAGCCGGCCUGAGAGGGUGACCGGCCACACUGGGACUGAGACACGGCCCAGACUCCUACGGGAGGCAGCAGUGGGGAAUAUUGCACAAUGGGCGGAAGCCUGAUGCAGCAACGCUGCGUGAGGGAUGACGGCCUUCGGGUUGUAAACCUCUUUUAGUAGGGAAGAAGCGAAAGUGACGGUACCUGCAGAAAAAGCACCGGCUAACUACGUGCCAGCAGCCGCGGUAAUACGUAGGGUGCAAGCGUUGUCCGGAAUUAUUGGGCGUAAAGAGCUCGUAGGCGGUUUGUCGCGUCUGCUGUGAAAUCCCGAGGCUCAACCUCGGGCUUGCAGUGGGUACGGGCAGACUAGAGUGCGGUAGGGGAGAUUGGAAUUCCUGGUGUAGCGGUGGAAUGCGCAGAUAUCAGGAGGAACACCGAUGGCGAAGGCAGAUCUCUGGGCCGUAACUGACGCUGAGGAGCGAAAGCAUGGGGAGCGAACAGGAUUAGAUACCCUGGUAGUCCAUGCCGUAAACGUUGGGCGCUAGAUGUAGGGACCUUUCCACGGUUUCUGUGUCGUAGCUAACGCAUUAAGCGCCCCGCCUGGGGAGUACGGCCGCAAGGCUAAAACUCAAAGGAAUUGACGGGGGCCCGCACAAGCGGCGGAGCAUGCGGAUUAAUUCGAUGCAACGCGAAGAACCUUACCAAGGCUUGACAUACACCGGAAACGGCCAGAGAUGGUCGCCCCCUUGUGGUCGGUGUACAGGUGGUGCAUGGUUGUCGUCAGCUCGUGUCGUGAGAUGUUGGGUUAAGUCCCGCAACGAGCGCAACCCUCGUUCUAUGUUGCCAGCGGGUUAUGCCGGGGACUCAUAGGAGACUGCCGGGGUCAACUCGGAGGAAGGUGGGGAUGACGUCAAAUCAUCAUGCCCCCUAUGUCUUGGGCUUCACGCAUGCUACAAUGGCCGGUACAAAGGGCUGCGAUACCGUAAGGUGGAGCGAAUCCCAAAAAGCCGGUCCCAGUUCGGAUUGAGGUCUGCAACUCGACCUCAUGAAGUCGGAGUCGCUAGUAAUCGCAGAUCAGCAACGCUGCGGUGAAUACGUUCCCGGGCCU
rnacentral:rRNA from 1 species